rnacentral:rRNA from 1 species
CAGCAGCCGCGGUAAUACGUAGGUGGCAAGCGUUGUCCGGAAUUAUUGGGCGUAAAGGGCUCGCAGGCGGUUUCUUAAGUCUGAUGUGAAAGCCCCCGGCUCAACCGGGGAGGGUCAUUGGAAACUGGGAAACUUGAGUGCAGAAGAGGAGAGUGGAAUUCCACGUGUAGCGGUGAAAUGCGUAGAGAUGUGGAGGAACACCAGUGGCGAAGGCGACUCUCUGGUCUGUAACUGACGCUGAGGAGCGAAAGCGUGGGGAGCAAACAGGAUUAGAUACCCGUGUAGUCCCUGUCUCUUAUAC